UAUCCCUGCGCCGCCGCCCCGCUUCCCUCUGCCUGGACGCCGUUGCCCGGCGGCCCGGCCUCGCUCCGCUCUGUGGCCGCACCACCAUGGAGCUGCACGACCCACCCUAUCUCCGUGCACCUCUCCCCAAUUCUUCUUCUUUGGCUCCCUCGCGCCGUCGCCAAGGACGGGAGCCCGUCGCCGCCGUGGGAGCCGAUGCUCCUCCAAGGCCCUGCGCUCUUCGAGAGGCUCAUCCCGCAGCUCAUGGAGGUGCCACAGCUCCGCCUGCACGCAACGGAGCAAGCAUCCCGAAACCUCGCUCUGCCAUCCAUGGAGGAGCUUCGGGGUCCACAUCAGUGUUGCGCAGGGCACACCCGAGCAAGAAGUGAUCCAAUGGCUAGCGGUGGUUCCUUUGUGGGUAUGCUGAGUGAUGAUGUUGGUAUAGAUGAUAUCUCCUUUUCAAUGUCAUAUGAACAAGAUGGAUAUGCUCAACAGGAUGCCUUUGACAUUCCUGCUCCAACUGCAAAGAAAGCUCGUCAGUCAAUAUCAUCCAACUACACAGCACAAGAGGAUGAGGCACUAGUCAUGGUGUGGGAAAGUGUAAGUCUGGAUCCAGUUAAAGGGAAUGAACAAAGCAGCAGCACCUAUUGAAAGCGCAUAUAUGACCACUACCACCGCAACAAAAAGUGUGUGUCUCACCGAUCUCUUAAUUCACUUCAACAUCGGUGGGGUACAAUUCAAGAGUGUUGCAACAAGUGGGCAAGCUGCAUGUCGCAAGUUGAGCGCCAAAGUCCAAGUGGUGUGCCGUACCAAGAGCAUAUCAACAUCGCCCAAGAGCGAUACAAAGAAAUGGAUCCACUUAAAAAAGGAGGCCAUUUGUCAUGCUACACUGUUGGGCCCUGCUACAACACCAUCAAAAGUGGCUGAAAAGGAAAGAUGAAGCUCCACCAAAGAGGCAAAAGUCAACCAACUCAAUAGAGUUUGCUGGUGUUGAAGAUAUUGAUGAAGAUGGAGUACAAAAUGAGGAUGGGAGAGGCCGGAGUCCAACUCACUGCUCGACAGGACCUACAGAUAAGAGGCCUCCAGGAAGAAAAGCUGAAAAAGAGAAGUUAAAGAAAGGAUCAGACAGUGGUAUCUAUAAGGAGAUGUUUCAAAAAAUGAUCACAGCAAGAAAAGAGAAGAAACAAGAAAAUGAAACUAGGUGGAUGGAGGUUAAGGCAAUGGAGGAGCGAAAGGCAACCAUCGAGGAGCGGAAGGCAACCAUCGAGGAGCGCAAAGUGGCCAUUGAAGAGGAAAAACUGAGGAUCAUGAGCGAGAAGGCGAUGAACAAAAAGUUGGAGCAGGAACAAAAGAUCAUGUUCAUGGACAAUAGUUGUCUUGAUGAUGACCAAAAAGCAUAUAUGAGUGCAGUGAGUGCACAGAUAUUAACAGCUCGAAUGGGCACAUUUGUGGGUGGGACCUCAGGUGGUGUCACAGGAAGUUCGUGCUGAGCUUCAUGGUUUUUGCUGCUGCCUGCUACAUGGUUGCCCUGCUAGUUUUUUGGAGAAACCACUUGCAAACCUGUUGUUUGGAUAUUACUAUGGUGAGAUUGAGUGUUCAUAUAUCUCAGAUAAACAUAUACAGUACUGCAGACCCGGUUGAACAUUGUGGCAACUUCAUGGACAAUAGUUUUAUUCCUAUUGUAUGCUAUCUCUUUUCUUUAAGGAUAUACUACUACCAGAUUUGAUCAGGACAAUACCAACUCUUCAACGGACAUGCAUAUGAUCCUAGUUCAUGCAGAAUUGCAAACUGAAUUGUAUCAUGCAUGGCCUCUCUCCUUCAAUUCAGUUUGAGUCUUUCUUUUCUUUUUCAUUUUUGCAGAUGAGUUCACUUCUUCGGGUUUUUUUUCGGUCCAUCCCAUGUUAACGAUGUGUCCGCUAUUUCAGCUUCUUUUGCUCAAUUCUAUUGUCACUGAUUGGCAUGGCAAUGUGAUUUGAAUUCAAAAUUUGAAUUUCAAAUUUAUGAAUUUGAAAUAUUGUCUAGUUA